AUUGAACGCUUGCGGCAUGCUUUACACAUGCAAGUCGAACGAGUGGCGAACGGGUGAGUAAUAUAUCGGAACGUACCGAGUAAUGGGGGAUAACCAAUCGAAAGAUUGGCUAAUACCGCAUAUUAUUCGAGCGGCCGAUAACUGAUUAGCUAGGUGGUGGGGAAAAGGCCUACCAAGGCGACGAUCAGUAGCGGGUCGUAGAGGACGAUCAGACACACUGGGACUGAGACACGGCCCAGACUCCGACGUGAGGCAGCAGUGGGGAGUAGUGGACAAUGGGCGCAAGCCUGAUACAGCACUGCCGAGUGUGUGAAGAAGGCCUUCGGGAUGUAAAGUACUUUCAGCGGGGAGGCGUUACCCGCAGAAGAAGCACAGGCUAACUCCGUGCCAGCAGCCGCGGUAAUUC
rnacentral:rRNA from 1 species